rnacentral:rRNA from 1 species
ACGUAGGGUGCGAGCGUUAAUCGGAAUUAAUGGGCGUAAAGCGUGCGCAGGCGGCUUUGUAAGUCAGAUGUGAAAUCCCCGAGCUCAACUUGGGAACUGCGUUUGAAACUACAAGGCUAGAAUAUGUCAGAGGGGGGUAGAAUUCCACGUGUAGCAGUGAAAUGCGUAGAGAUGUGGAGGAAUACCAAUGGCGAAGGCAGCCCCCUGGGAUAAUAUUGACGCUCAUGCACGAAAGCGUGGGGAGCAAACAGG